rnacentral:lncRNA from 1 species
AAUCUAUAAACGUAAAUGACAGCACAAUAUUUCUUGCCACGUGGCAAGUCACCCUUCAUCCCUUCAUCCUCAUAAAUAAAUAAAUAAAUAAAACUACUUCCUCUAUCUAAAUAUCAAAUUAACAAAAUAAUUAACUCUCUCUAUUUACCUGCUACUUGAGUUUAUUGCUAAUAAAUUCAUUCCGUUUAAUAUGGACGAUGUAGAUUCAUUGAACCACUAAGCAAUAGUGACAUUAAAUAUCAAAUUUUUUACUCUUGGACUUUUAUUUUAUGAAACCAACCCUUCGCCUUCCCUCCACAUAUAACGCCUAAUUUAACCCUAUCUAAACCGUAAAUUUAGAAACCCAUCCAAAGGCCCAAUCCUUUGUCUUUUCUCCGCAUAUAACGUCUAAUUAAUGUAUCCAUCCAUUUUAACCCAUCACUUGGACAUGUAUAAAAAAAAUAUUGUACCGUUUUAUCUCUCCUAUGCAUGUCAUGAAAAUGAAAGCCUAUUUUGUUUCCUAUAAUAAAUUACAACCUCCUUCAUUUAGCAAGAGGUGUGGGAUCUAUUUACUUUUUUUUUUCUUUUUUUUUAAAUUUCUAAUUUUGAUGUAUUAUCCUCUUCUCAUUUAGCCUGAGGCGUGGGUGAUGCUUCAGGUCAUAGCGGUGGCGGAAGGGUGAAUGUGAUGGCAGUGGAGACUAAGACGGUUGCGGAAGAAAGCGUGGGCAAUGACAGUUGAGAUCGAGGCGGCAGUAAAAGCAAUGGCAAGCCUCGCCCUCUUAGAGAUCAAUAUUAAGUGAGAGUUUCUCUAUCUUUUCUUUUUUUUUCCCUCUCUUCUUAUUUUCUAUUUUUUUAAUCUAUUUUUAAUAUAUUUUACAGUAUUUUUUGGAAUGAUUUGAUAGUUUCUGUUUAAGAUGAGUUGGAUUGGAUUAAAAAUCUAAUUCUCUGCCCGCUGCAUCGCGCGGAUAACUAUACUAGUGAUUAAUUAUGUAUGGA